GGGACGAGAGGAAGACAUUAAAAAGUUAGUGCUGGCCAUUAUGAAAAAGACCAGAGGCUGUGCAGAUAUACUUUCAGGCAUCUUACGGUUUAUUCAACGGGAAAGUGGUGAAAGAUAAAGUGGUUUUGUUGUAAGAGCAGAAAGUGCGUCUUGAGCCCACGGCGCCACAAUACCUGUGUUCUCCCAGAAGCAUCAGCUUUGGACUACUGGACCAGCCUAGGAGAAACACGAGUCCCUACCAGGCACAGAUCUCAUAUGAACCGGAAUCCCAACGAUGAAAUGCAGUGUCAAAGGUGCCAUUGAGGUACCGCGUUUGGUUGCCGAUGCCGACCGGAAGUCAG
ensembl:lncRNA